GCUCUUCGAAAAUAAAACAUUGAGUAAAAGUUGUGCUUAUACCAAUUAAAUUCUGAUAAAGACAUACGUCGUCGUUUGCUUUGUGAAUUUGAAAAACUAAAAACCCUUGGUUUCAGAAUCUUCCCCUUCAGGAAUUCUAGAUGAAGUUUUAACUUCCCCAAUUUUCCGUCAAAAACUUCUCGGAAUCGUUGGUCACAAAAACAAGUUGAACUUCCUGUGAAGAACUUCUACUCAAGAGCUCUGUCAGCAUUUGUUUCUUUAUCCCCAACCUCAAGAGAUCAGAGUAUUACAGAAUGAACAUGUUCCAAUUCCUCGUGCUCAGUUCUAUCGUUCCAAUUAUGGCUGCAGUCCUACGUCGAAACGUUACAAACCCAGACCUCAUCGAGGAUUGCCUUGUGGCGGUGAGCGUCAUAUUGGUUUGGAUAGGGACGCUGUGGAGUGUUCUCCAUAGGGCGAGUGGGUGUGUGAGUUGUCUGAUCGGGGGAAUUUCUUCUAUUGUGGGACUAUCCGUCGGGAUUUUCCAACUGCAGAUGGUGGUACGAGAGGGGAAUGAUAAGGAUACGCUUGUGUCUGAAUUUAUUUCUCUUAUCAUUGGUGCUGUAAUUGGUUUGUAUUACCACGGACGACUGGAAGUACUCGUUCGUCCCUCCACCUGGGUUUUCAUCACCAUAUACCUCCUAUUCGUGCGGUGUUGCAGGAGUUGAGAGUGCUACCGUGAUAUUAAUAGAAUUAGAAAAUAGGAUUCUAUUGUAAACGUAGAGACAUAUGACUAUUGACUCUAAAUUUUGACUCGGAUAUGAUUGUUUGUUUUGACACAAUUGCAAAUUUUUCAUAUGAAUCCUUUAUGAGCAUGAGUUUGUUUUUUCAUUGCAAUUACUAAUUUUUUAGUGCUUAACCAAUGGAAGGUCUUGUGGUAGAAAAAUGUAAAUGGUCACUAUUGGGACUGAUUGAUGCAGAAAAUAAGAGAGCCUGCUGUCAAUCUAAUCUGGCUGGUGAUUCCAACCAAAUAGAGGAGAUUGUUGUAGAUUAUGACUACCUUGUGGUUUCCAUUCAAAGAGAUUUGUCUUACUAUAGAAAUUGGGACCCUUUCUGCAUACUGUAAUCAAUUUGGACUGCACAUCACAUCAGUAGCUUCUCCCAACAUUAGUAAAAGCGAUUGUGAUUCCAUUAACCAUGGAUCGGAGUAGAAACACGAUCACAAUUUUUUGGUGCAUGAACGAACUUCAUGAAAUACAGAUAUUUCAUCCUUUGAAGCUGUUAUCCCUUUUCUUGUUAUUGUUAACUUGGAUUUGGAACUGUAUGUUCUGCAGGAAAUAGAAGAUGCUCAGAAGAUCGUAUUGUUGAUUGUUUUGAGAGGGCAAGUUUGCCUAGUCUAAGUGAUGAAGAAAAAAUAAAAAAAUCUUCAUUUUUUCGUUGUUGGUGGAGGUCCAACUGGUGUGGAGUUUGCAGCAGAGCUUCAUGAAUAUGUUAAUGAAGAUCUAGUCAAAUUAUAUCCCAAGGUUAAAGAUUCCGUUAAAGUAACACUUGUUGAAGCUACAGACCAUAUUCUGAACAUAUUUUUGAAGUAGAAUUCUUGUAAAUAUGGUACUCUGCUUCAAUAUUUUGAUUAGUAUAGUGAUCUGCAUAACAUUUUAAGUAGAUGCCUUUAGCCACCCAAAUAUGCGUGUAUUGGCCUACUGUAGGAUACAUCUGGGAAAAUUUUCAAGUUAAAACUCUAAUUUCAUUCUCUACCAAAGGUAGUUGAAAAGUACUAUAUUCCUUUCAACUUGUAGUUAAUUGAUAUAGGUAUCACUAUCUUGGAACUUCAUUGUUCGAGAUAUCCAUGAUGCCCUAAUACAUGAGUUCAUUGCCCUGAUGAAAUGCAUAUCUUGUACGGGCUCAUAAAUAGACUAUGCAGUAUUAUUUAUGGAUAGAAACAGUUUUUUGUUCAUUAACAAGCUUGCCUGUACCAGUAGAACUUUUACCAGUACCCAGGCAGAGUUGGUUAACAGAGCAGGUCUUGUUGAGGUUCGUUGACUCUCUUUUUUCGUGCCACCCACACUUAGCUUGCUUUCGUAUGUAAUAUCUGGGUUUCUCGUAAGCAUAGAUAUAUACUUGUGGAGGAGAUGAAUCAUUGGCUCAAGAUGAAAAAUUCAGAGAGAUGAAAUUGUUUUAAAAACUGGGGCAAUGGUUGUGAAGGUAACAUAAAGAAAUUUCCCCUAAACAAGUUAAGAAUGGCGGUGAAAUAUGUAUGGCAUGAUUGUGUGGUCAACUGGAAUUGGAACUCGCCCUCUUAUAAAUGGAGUUGGUGAAGCAAGUUGGUCAGGUAGAAACACAGAGGCCUAUGAAGCUUUAUUUAGGCUUUGUCUAUUAUUGUAUUUGCUGAUUUUUUUUCAUGGUUUAUUACUCCAAAGGUAGAAGUUUAAGACUUGGUCUUUUUUGUAAUAGACGUGUACUAGCAACUGAUGAGUGGCUACGAGUAACAUUAAUGCACUAGGAGACUGUGCGACAAUCAAUCAGUGCAAAGUCAUGGCAUGAUUUCUUAACUAAGAAUCUUACUUCUCAUUCUUAAUGGGAACCUUGAUUUGUUAGUUUGUCAUAAAAUCCUUCCUUUUUUUACACUGGGUAGUAGGAAGGUGAUUUUUGGCUUCUAGUGUGCUACUGGACUAGUAAAAAGGAAUCGCCAUCAAUAUGAAGAUAUACCGGACUAUUGUAUGCUUAAAAAUUCCUUUCCUAGAUAGUUUUGCUGCUGAAAGAGCAACUUACAGCAAAUUUAUGGUAUAUGUUGCUUCAGAUCUCAUAAUCUGAUUUUGAGCUCAGGUCUGCAUUGUUAUACUAAAAGUACCAUACACUUGCACACGCAGAAACAAAAUUGAGUUUAAGUUUGUGGAUGUUUGUCUAAAGAAACAAGCUGCACUAACUAUUUGAAACUCUUUCUCUGAAUGAUGUUUUGCAGGCUGUGAUAUUCAUAUUUAGCAAUCAGUUUUAGAUACCAUUCUGUUUCAGAUUAAUUCCUGAUGAAAGUUAAACCCCAUUCCUUAUCACGUGAGGAAGAUAUUUGGGCUAUAUUUCAAAAAGCAGAUAACGACAACCCCAAGACACGGUGAAUGUUGAAGAGUUGAAGGCAGCUCUCGAUUCUCAGAUGAAGAAUCUUCCAGCAACUGCCCAGGUUGUCUAUAUGAUGAUACAUCCUGGUGGAUUUGAUCUCUCCUUGUAUGAUGGCAUUCUGACACCCAAUUCAUGGCAUUACAGGUUACAGCACAGCAAUGUUCAUAUCUUGCUGACUGUUUCAAGUUUCAACUAAAUGGAAUUCUACAAGGAAAAUCUCUUUUGCAGUUCAGGGGUGAAGGACGUCAUAGGUUUUGUCCUUUCAGCAAGCUAGUAAGUUGGCGUACAAGAACGCUGGUGAUAUCAGACUGGCGGAGGCGUUUCAUCUUUGGCAGCGACUCUAGUGGCAUCUAACGAGUCAGAAUGAUCAAACUCUUGUCCCAAUAGUGGUGCUCCUUUUCUAUAUUUGGUUAAUCAUGCAUACAUCUCCAGUCAUCUCUAUCAUUUAGGCGGAUGUCAGACGAAUACUUUUGCCGCUGAAAACUAGGUUACACUUAUCCCUUAAUGCCAAAUUUUGCAGCUAGAUAUGAGAUACAAUAGCUUCUUUGUUUGAGAAAUAAUGAUUUUAUUCCGUCCAUAUAUACAUAUACGUAGGUACAUGAAUUUCUGGUGUUUUAUGCAAACAUUUGAACAAUGUUUGUCUGUUGGUAUAUUGUUUUAAUGUUGUGUAAGCAUGAGCCAGAAUCAUGUUGUUAAAAUGCUCGUGGUUUUCUCGAGUUAAGUUAAGAGAUUGAAU